GCAAAACGCGAAGAACCUUACCUGGCCUUGACAUGCCACUAACGAAGCAGAGAUGCAUUAGGUGCUCGAAAGAGAAAGUGGACACAGGUGCUGCAUGGCUGUCGUCAGCUCGUGUCGUGAGAUGUUGGGUUAAGUCCCGCAACGAGCGCAACCCUUGCCAAUAAUUGCCAUCAUUCAGUUGGGCACUUUAUUGGGACUGCCGGUGACAAACCGGAGGAAGGUGGGGAUGACGUCAAGUCCUCAUGGCCCUUAUGGCCAGGGCUUCACACGUAAUACAAUGGUCGGUACAGAGGGUAGCCAACCCGCGAGGGGAGCCAAUCUCAGAAAGACCGAUCGUAGUCCGGAUUGUAGUCUGCAACUCGACUACAUGAAGUCGGAAGUCGCUAGUAAUCGCGGAUCAGCAUGUCGCGGUGAAUACGUUCCCGGGUCUUGUACACACCG
rnacentral:rRNA from 1 species